rnacentral:rRNA from 1 species
AACUCUUAGCGGUGGAUCACUCGGCUCGUGCGUCGAUGAAGAACGCAGCUAGCUGCGAGAACUAAUGUGAAUUGCAGGACACAUUGAUCAUCGACACUUCGAACGCCUAAGCGCCUAAGCGACCGCAGCCGGCCCUCAGCAUCCCGAGGGUUA